rnacentral:rRNA from 1 species
CAAUAGCGUAUAUUUAAGUUGCUGCAGUUAAAAAGCUCGUAGUUGGAUUUCGGGUGGGAAUGGCCGGUCCGCCGUUUCGGUGUGCACUUGCUACGCCCACCUUGCUGCCGGGGACGUGCUCUUGAGUUCACGCUCGGGACACGGAGUCGGCGAGGUUACUUUGAGUAAAUUAGAGUGUUCAAAGCAGGCCUACGCUCUGAAUACAUUAGCAUGGCAUAACACGAUAGGACUCUGGCCUAUCUUGUUGGUCUGUAGGACCGGAGUAAUGAUUAAGAGGGACAGUCGGGGGCAUUCGUAUUUCAUUGUCAGAGGUGAAAUUCUUGGAUUUAUGAAAGACGAACUACUGCGAAAGCAUUUGCCAAGGAUGUUUUCAUUAA